rnacentral:rRNA from 1 species
UACGUAGGGUGCGAGCGUUAAUCGGAAUUACUGGGCGUAAAGCGUGCGCAGGCGGCGCGUUAAGACAGGUGUGAAAGCCCCGAGCUUAACUUGGGAAUUGCGCUUGUGACUGGCGUGCUGGAGUGUGGCAGAGGGAGGUGGAAUUUCACGUGUAGCAGUGAAAUGCGUAGAGAUGUGGAGGAACACCGAUGGCGAAGGCAGCCUCCUGGGCCAGCACUGACGCUCAUGCACGAAAGCGUGGGGAGCAAACAGG